rnacentral:rRNA from 1 species
UACGGAGGGUGCGAGCGUUGUCCGGAAUCAUUGGGCGUAAAGGGCGCGUAGGUGGCGGGACAAGCGUGCGGUGAAAGCCUGGGGCUCAACCCCGGGUCGGCCGUGCGAACUGUUUUGCUUGAGCACUGUAGAGGCAGGCGGAAUUCCCGGUGUAGUGGUGAAAUGCGUAGAUAUCGGGAGGAACACCAGUGGCGCAGGCGGCUUUCUGGCCUGCUCUUGACGCUGAGGCGCGAAAGCUAGGGUAGCAAACGGG